GACGAACGCUGGCGGCGUGCUUAACACAUGCAAGUCGAACGGAAAGGCCCUGCUUUUGUGGGGUGCUCGAGUGGCGAACGGGUGAGUAACACGUGAGUAACCUGCCCUUGACUUUGGGAUAACUUCAGGAAACUGGGGCUAAUACCGGAUAGGAGCUCCUGCUGCAUGGUGGGGGUUGGAAAGUUUCGGCGGUUGGGGAUGGACUCGCGGCUUAUCAGCUUGUUGGUGGGGUAGUGGCUUACCAAGGCUUUGACGGGUAGCCGGCCUGAGAGGGUGACCGGGCAAAAUGGGAAUGGGGUACGGGCCAGACUCCUACGGGAGGCAGCAGUGGGGAAUAUUGCACAAUGGGCGGAAGCCUGAUGCAGCAACGCCGCGUGCGGGAUGACGGCCUUCGGGUUGUAAACCGCUUUCGCCUGUGACGAAGCGUGAGUGACGGUAAUGGGUAAAGAAGCACCGGCUAACUACGUG
rnacentral:rRNA from 1 species